GGCAGCAGUGAGGAAUAUUGGUCAAUGGGCGAGAGCCUGAACCAGCCAAGUCGCGUGAGGGAGUACUGCCCUAUGGGUUGUAAACCUCUUUUGUCGGGGAGCAAAAGCCGGACGUGUCCGGCUGUGAGAGUACCCGAAGAAAAAGCAUCGGCUAACUCCGUGCCAGCAGCCGCGGUAAUACGGAGGAUGCGAGCGUUAUCCGGAUUUAUUGGGUUUAAAGGGUGCGCAGGCGGAUUUUUAAGUCAGCGGUCAAAUCGUGGGGCUCAACCCCAUCCAGCCGUUGAAACUGGGGAUCUAGAGUGUGCGAGAGGUAUGCGGAAUGCGUGGUGUAGCGGUGAAAUGCAUAGAUAUCACGCAGAACCCCGAUUGCGAAGGCAGCAUACCGGUGCACAACUGACGCUCAGGCACGAAAGCGUGGGUAUCGAACAGGAUUAGAUACCCUGGUAGUCCACGCAGUAAACGAUGAAUGCUACCUGUUUGGCCAGAUUGAAGGCUGA
rnacentral:rRNA from 1 species